rnacentral:pre_miRNA from 1 species
GGCUUCCAGCUUCUCUGAGACAUCAUCCUUUGGGGCUCAAACUUUCCCUGUUUAGUCUCAGCCCAAAGGUGAGUUGAUGGGAAGUUUGAGU